rnacentral:misc_RNA from 1 species
AACGCACCUUGCGCUCCUUGGUAUUCCGAGGAGCAUGCCUGUUUGAGUGUCAUGAAAUUCUCAACCUAACAAGUUCUUAACGGGACUUGCUUAGGCUUGGACUUGGAGGCUUGUCGGCUCUUAGCAGUCGGCUCCUCUCAAAUGCAUUAGCUUGGUUCCUUGCGGAUCGGCUCACGGUGUGAUAAUUAUCUGCGCCGCGACCGUUGAAGCGUUUAAUGGCCAGCUUCUAAUCGUCUCUUGCGAGACAGCUUUCAUCGAACUCUGACCUCAAAUCAGGUAGGACUACCCGCUGAACUUAA